GGGCACAUAGUGGAGUCGGUAAUCACGCCUGCUCAUCAUGCAGCAGGGAUUGCGCGGGCAGCCACUGGUUCAACUCCGGGCGUGUCCA